rnacentral:rRNA from 1 species
GACGAACGCUGGCGGCGUGCCUAAUACAUGCAAGUCGAGCGGACUGAUUAAGAGCUUGCUCUUAUGACGUUAGCGGCGGACGGGUGAGUAACACGUGGGCAACCUGCCCUGUAGAUCGGGAUAACACCGAGAAAUCGGUGCUAAUACCGGGUAAUAUCUGAGAUCACAUGAUCUUAGGUUAAAAGAUGGCUCCGGCUAUCACUACAGGAUGGGCCCGCGGCGCAUUAGCUAGUUGGUAAGGUAAUGGCUUACCAAGGCGACGAUGCGUAGCCGACCUGAGAGGGUGAUCGGCCACACUGGGACUGAGACACGGCCCAGACUCCUACGGGAGGCAGCAGUAGGGAAUCUUCCGCAAUGAACGAAAGUCUGACGGAGCAACGCCGCGUGAGUGAUGAAGGGUUUCGGCUCGUAAAGCUCUGUUGUUAGGGAAGAAACAGUACCGAACGAACUAGGUCGGUACCUUGACGGUACCUAACCAGAGAGCCACGGCUAACUACGUG